CAGUCGCCGCGGGAAUACGAAGGGGGCUAGCGUUGUUCGGAAUUACUGGGCGUAAAGCGCACGCAGGCGGUUUGUUAAGUCAGAUGUGAAAUCCCCGAGCUUAACUUGGGAACUGCAUUUGAAACUGGCAAGCUAGAGUCUUGUAGAGGGGGGUAGAAUUCCAGGUGUAGCGGUGAAAUGCGUAGAGAUCUGGAGGAAUACCGGUGGCGAAGGCGGCCCCCUGGACAAAGACUGACGCUCAGGUGCGAAAGCGUGGGGAGCAAACAGGAUUAGAUACCUCGGUAGUCCCUGUCUCUUAUAA
rnacentral:rRNA from 1 species